rnacentral:rRNA from 1 species
UACGAAGGGGGGCUAGCGUUGUUCGGAUUUACUGGGCGUAAAGCGCACGUAGGCGGAUCGAUCAGUCAGGGGUGAAAUCCCAGAGCUCAACUCUGGAACUGCCUUUGAUACUGUCGAUCUGGAGUAUGGAAGAGGUGAGUGGAAUUCCGAGUGUAGAGGUGAAACUCGUAGAUAUUCGGAGGAACACCAGUGGCGAAGGCGGCUCACUGGUCCAUUACUGACGCUGAGGUGCGAAAGCGUGGGGAGCAAACAGG